GACUUCUCCAAAGUCUUUGACAGGGUCCCUCACCACAUCCUUCUCUCUAAAUUGGAGAGUUGUUUCAUGCAGAAGGUCUUCCUGGUUUUUACACAGAAGGAAGAUGAGAUGAAUAUGCUGAGGUCAGGAAAAGAAAGACUGUGGAUGGAGGAAGUUGAAGGAAAGAGAUGCUAAGCAUCAGUAGGAGGAGGAGCUUGGGUCUAUUCUCCAUGCAUGUGAGCAGAUACAAGGAGACUGAGAGAAACUGGUCCCUAAAAUGAGCUUUCCAUUCCAGCCAUUCUGCUUGGGCCACCAUCAACAAGAACUACUGCUGCUCUUAACACUGAAUAGUCCUUUGUCUGUGAUUCAUCUGAAAUGAUACUUCUGAAAACCAAACCAAACUCUGGAGAAAGAAGAGAAUGAAACUGGAGAAAACAACUUGAAUUUUGUUUUGGGGAGGAAUCUGUCAAUCAGUAUGACACCCAAACAAAGAAGAGAAUCUAAGAGUUACUACAUGGAAGAUAAGCAGUGAUUGUGUCCUUCCAUUUCCUUAUAACUGGAUCCUUGUUUGUUAAGUGUAAGACUUUUUCUGCAGCACAGAAAUGCCCUAAACCUGUGGUGAAUUGAGAUGAAUCCUUGCCACAAUCCUUAAAGGAGAUGGACAGUGGAUAGAGGAUUGUUGAUUCUCAAACAUUUUUCUUACAAGCUGCAAUGAAACAUCAUUUGAGUUCAGCAAGUGCAGCAGCAAAUGUGCGAACAGUACCUGGACGGUAUGUUUUUUUUCACUUCUGGGCAACAAAUCUUCUGCUUUUUUACACUGUUUAAUGGGUAUCAUGUCAAAAAGGUGAAUUUGACCUGACAAAUCAAGAUAAUAGGAGAAGGAUUCUGGAAGCACUGUUAGAGGUUAUGAGAUCCAGCUGCAGUUAAUUUGGAGUUAAUUAACUGAAAGAAGCUUCCAGGCUGUGCCAUGGGACCCUGAGCAAGGCUUAGUUUUCAAUCAAAGCUUUCAGAGGAGGACGUUACAUUAAAGAAGCACUACCACAUCCACCACAAAACCGCUUCAUCUGACUCCUAUCUCAAAGGAAUACUUUGCAGUGUCAAAGCCUUUAUACUGUUUAAAAACAAAUAGCAAGUUCCUUGUUAGUUUGUAUACAGUGUUGUUUAAAUAGUAAUGU